UUGAACGCUGGCGGCAUGCUUUACCCCUGCAAGUCGAACGGCAGCGCGGGCUUCGGCCUGGCGGCGAGUGGCGAACGGGGAGUAAUACAUCGGAACGUGCCCAGUAGUGGGGGAUAGCUCGGCGAAAGCCGGAUUAAUACCGCAUACGACCUGAGGGUGAAAGCGGGGGAUCUUCGGACCUCGCGCUAUUGGAGCGGCCGAUGGCAGAUUAGCUAGUUGGUGGGGUAAAGGCCUACCAAGGCGACGAUCUGUAGCUGGUCUGAGAGGACGACCAGCCACACUGGGACUGAGACACGGCCCAGACUCCUACGGGAGGCAGCAGUGGGGAAUUUUGGACAAUGGGCGAAAGCCUGAUCCAGCAAUGCCGCGUGUGUGAUGAAGGCCUUCGGGUUGUAAAGCACUUUUGGCGGGAACGAAAAGGACUGUGCCAAUACCACGGUUCGAUGACGGUACCCGCAGAAUAAGCACCGGCUAACUACGUG
rnacentral:rRNA from 1 species